UACGUAGGCAGCAAGCGUUGUUCGGAGUUACUGGGCGUAAAGGGUGUGUAGGCGGUUUGCUUAAGUUUGGUGUGAAAUCUCCCGGCUCAACUGGGAGGGUGCGCCGAAUACUGAGUGACUCGAGUGCGGGAGAGGAAAGUGGAAUUCCUGGUGUAGCGGUGAAAUGCGUAGAUAUCAGGAGGAACAUCGGUGGUGUAGACGGCUUUCUGGACCGUAACUGACGCUGAGACACGAAAGCGUGGGUAGCAAACAGG
rnacentral:rRNA from 1 species